UACGUAGGGUGCGAGCGUUGUCCGGAAUCACUGGGCGUAAAGGGCGCGUAGGUGGUGACCUAAGCGUGCGGUGAAAGCCCGAGGCUCAACCUCGGGUCGGCCGUGCGAACUGGGUCACUGGAGCAGAAUAGAGGCAGGUGGAAUUCCGGGUGUAGCGGUGGAAUGCGUAGAGAUCCGGAAGAACACCAGUGGCGAAGGCGGCUCACUGGCCCGAUACUGACGCUGAGGCACGAAAGCGUGGGGAGCAAACAGG
rnacentral:rRNA from 1 species